AGGUGAGCCUUUGGGGAAGUGAUUGGAUCAUAAGGUCUUUGAACAAUCAAUCCAUUGAGGAAUUCAUAGCUGAAUGGACUCUUGGGAAGUGGUAGAAACUGUAAGAGGUUAAAAUACUUGGAGUGAGUCCCUGGGGAUGUGUCCUUGGGGACUGUUAUCUUGUCCUCAGCCCCUUCCUCUUUCUCUGCUUCCUGGCUACCAUGAAGUGAGCAGCUUUGCUUUUCCAUGCCCCCCCUCACCAGGGCAUUCUGCCUUACCACAGACCCACAGCAGUGGGACAAAGCAUCUGUGGACUAAAACCUGAAAUGGCACGUUAUUUUUCUCAGGUAUUUUUGUCAUAGCAACAGAAACCUGAUUAACAACAGGAUCCUAGUACAGGUCUCUUUCUGAAGCAAUAUUCCUUGUGUGUGUGUGCGCCACUAAUGUGUAAUGUCUAAGGAGUUCCUUGGCACAAAGACUCGAUACAUUGUUUUAAAGAGAAUGCAUGAAGUUGGUUACAUAACUCCCAGAAGGUUUAUUAGCGAAUUUGGUGCCAGAAUAAGGUGAGUUAGUGGUAUUCUGACAGCACUGGACAAAUGCAUUCAGUGGAAAUACAUCGUCUUUGCUUCUAUCUAUAAUUUAUAGACCACAGUUAAAUAACAAAUUUCAGCCCAAUAGAAAACUGGGUAAGAGCCUUAACAGUCAUUUCACAAAAGAAGGUAAUUAUAUGUUUUUUAAACAUUUAAAGGUACUCAACUAUCUUAAUCCUUAGAGAAAUGCCAUAAAGCCCCAUUGAGCCACUGUGACACACCCAAAAAAAACUGUUAAAAUUAACCAGAAAGUACCAAAUGUUGAUCAAGAGUUAGCAACUGAAGCAUAUGUUAUUGAUAGGAAUGGAUGUUGUUAUGACCACUUUGGAAAAUUCAAAGUUCAAACAACAGGCAAAACCAAACUAGACUUAGGAAAUAAAGUUACAGAGAGAAGAAAGAAUUGACUGGGGGAUUGUACUUGGGAGGAAAUAAAGGUAUGCUUCCAGGGUUUGGGGCCCUGUUCUGUUUCUUGACUUGUAUGGGGUUGGUGAGGGGCAGGUCACUCACUUAUUGAGCCAUAAAGUUGGGAAAGGUGCCUUUUGGUAUAUUCUGUAUUUCAUGAUUAAAAAGUUUUGAUGAGCUGGGCACAGCAGUGCACACCUGUAAUCCCAGAGGCUCCGGAGGCUGAGGCAGGAGGAUUAAGAGUUUAAAGCUAGCCUCAGAAACAGUGAGGUGCAAGCAACUCAGUGAGACCCUGUCUCUAAAUAAAAU
rnacentral:lncRNA from 1 species